ACGAUCCCAGGCAUGGCAAUAAGCCAGCUACCGGGCAUUAGAGGAAGAGCUGGACAGAGUGUCUGACAAAUAUCCAUCCUCUAGGCAGUUUUAUCCAUCUGCCAACUCUUCCUCCUGGGCUGCACAUGCUUGUGAACCACCCACUGCUGAAAAUGAUCCAUCUGAGUUUAUCAUUUAUACUAGAUGUGCAAGAAAUCAGUUGAACUUCUUUGAUCACAUGUUUGUAGGUCACCUUCUUCUUAAACUGCAUGAUCAAAUAGAUAAAAUAUC